GCCGGAAUUCUGGAAUUCGCGCCGCCACGGCCGCGCGCCCCCCCCGCGCGGAAUGCCGCGAGCGCGCGCCACGAGCCUUUUCCCGCGCGCCGCGCCGCGUGCGUGGCGCGGCGUUUUGCGUUCGACGCGAAGAAGAGGAGCUAAGAGGAGCACAUUCUGAGGCACGUCCGCGUACACGGUACAGCGCGGGAGAGGAGCGGAAGGCCGACGAUCGAGAGAGGUUCGAGCACCUGAAUGGCGCUCCCCCGGCCACGGAAAUGGUUCGCUCCACGCUCAUAGUGGCUGUGUGGCGAGCAGCGCGCCCAGUGUGUGCUGCGCGCCUCCGGAGCGGCGGUCCGCGGUCCCGGCUCUCGCUCUCGCUCUCGCUCUCGCGCUCUCUCUCUCUCUCUCUCUCCCUCUGUCUCUCUCUCUCUCGCUCUCUCUCCGUCUCCGCGCCUUAUCGCUCUUUCAGCAUUUUUCAUUUUCUCUGACCUUUUCCUUGGACCCCUUUUAGACCUCAGGCUGAGAGCACUGGGACUAAACACCUGUUGCUGCAAGGCCCCCCACCCACAGGUCAGAACGGACAGGUACGUCCAUAGGUCACUUUGUUCCAGCCGAUACGUUACAGACGUGCCGCUGAGCCCCGAGUAUCUCAUCCAGCCGAUUCUCCUGCAUCCCUCCCGUGUGUCUGAUAUCACACCUUCUGUGACGGUACCUGUCCCAUCAGCCCGUGACUCACACUCUGUCAAACUGGUGUUUCCAAGCCCAGCGUGUGCAGAACACAUCGAACCACAGACACAUCUAGAUUUGGGCUGCAGGUUAGUCAGAGAGCAGGAAACACAAAUGAAAGUGGCAUAAUAAAAACAACAUGACUGAGUUUGUCACUGUUGGUUGCUUUAAAGGUCUGAUAGUCCCAGGAAUUAUUGUUGCCUCCCUUUAAUCUAUAAUAAGUAUUGCUGUUUUGUGCUCCACAAAUAUAUUCAUGACAAAUAUUGUACAGUAAGUAAAGCAUCAGCAUUUUUGAAAUAACCAGCUGCUUGGAUGAAUCAUUAAAAUCAGUGCUGUACCAGCAUGAAAUAAUUUAACCUCAUCACCCGUGA
rnacentral:lncRNA from 1 species